GAUGAACGCUGGCGGCGUGCCUAAUACAUGCAAGUCGAGCGAACGGACGAGAAGCUUGCUUCUCUGAUGUUAGCGGCGGACGGGUGAGUAACACGUGGAUAACCUACCUAUAAGACUGGGAUAACUUCGGGAAACCGGAGCUAAUACCGGAUAAUAUUUUGAACCGCAUGGUUCAAAAGUGAAAGACGGUCUUGCUGUCACUUAUAGAUGGAUCCGCGCUGCAUUAGCUAGUUGGUAAGGUAACGGCUUACCAAGGCAACGAUGCAUAGCCGACCUGAGAGGGGGGACCGGCAAACCGGGAAUGAAGAACGGUCCCGGACCCUACGGGAGGCAGCAGUAGGGAAUCUUCCGCAAUGGGCGAAAGCCUGACGGAGCAACGCCGCGUGAGUGAUGAAGGUCUUCGGAUCGUAAAACUCUGUUAUUAGGGAAGAACAUAUGUGUAAGUAACUGUGCACAUCUUGACGGUACCUAAUCAGAAAGCCACGGCUAACUACGUG
rnacentral:rRNA from 1 species